UGCAACACCAGUGUGGCCAUACCACGUGGUUUGUGACGUCAUUUUGGCUAGCACGCUAAGUAGAAAUUUGUCAACAUUGGCCCCGCUUAGAAAUUUCAAAUCCACAUACACAUGAUGACGACCGAAGAGCGAUAUAUUUGUGCCAUAUGCGCCAGAGGGUACAAGCACAGGCGCAAUUUGGUUUACCAUGAAAGAACAAACGCUGGGAUGUUACCCUUUUAACUGUUGCGGCGUUGGGUUUUCAUCAAGACGACAAUUACAAAGAUACAGGUGCAAUGUACACGGUGACGGAAAAACUAUCUUUGCCUUUAUUGUGGAAAAGAAUUCGCAACGAAAGUAGAUUUAGAUGCCCACUCUGCCCGGGAACAGCGCACUCGAGAGAUCGAGUGCGAGAUAUGCAACCACAAGGCCACAACACGGGCUCAUCUCCGAGAACAUCUCAAAACACACAGCGAGGAAUAAACACACGUUUGCCAUGUGUGCAAAGCCGCCUAUAAACAUAUAAGUUCACUGUAUAGGCACUAUGGGCAAAAGCACAAAUGACGUGUAUACAGUGGUUUUACCUGUUUGUGAUUUAUUUGUGAUUUACCCGUGAUUUAUUUGUGAUUUAUCCGUGAUUGAAUUGUUGCGAUAAAAGCAUAAUCAUCAAAUCUCAAGCAUAAUUAACAUUUGAACCGUAUCUGUUUAUACGAU